rnacentral:rRNA from 1 species
AUUGAACGCUGGCGGCAUGCCUUACACAUGCAAGUCGAACGGCAGCACGGGUGCUUGCACCUGGUGGCGAGUGGCGAACGGGUGAGUAAUACAUCGGAACAUGUCCUGUAGUGGGGGAUAGCCCGGCGAAAGCCGGAUUAAUACCGCAUACGAUCUACGGAUGACAGCGGGGGACCUUCGGGCCUCGCGCUAUAGGGUUGGCCGAUGGCUGAUUAGCUAGUUGGUGGGGUAAAGGCCUACCAAGGCGACGAUCAGUAGCUGGUCUGAGAGGACGACCAGCCACACUGGGACUGAGACACGGCCCAGACUCCUACGGGAGGCAGCAGUGGGGAAUUUUGGACAAUGGGCGAAAGCCCGAUCCAGCAAUGCCGCGUGUGUGAAGAAGGCCUUCGGGUUGUAAAGCACUUUUGUCCGGAAAGAAAUCCUUGGCCCUAAUACGGUCGGGGGAUGACGGUACCGGAAGAAUAAGCACCGGCUAACUACGUG